rnacentral:rRNA from 1 species
AUUGAACGCUGGCGGAAUGCUUUACACAUGCAAGUCGAACGAUGAGAUCUAGCUUGCUAGAUCGAUUAGUGGCGAACGGGUGAGUAAUGUAUCGGAACGUAUCCAAUAAUGGGGGAUAACUAACCGAAAGGUUAGCUAAUACCGCAUACGCCCUACGGGGGAAAGCAGGGGAUCUUCGGACCUUGCGUUAAUGGAGCGGCCGAUAUCUGAUUAGCUAGUUGGUGAGGUAAAGGCUCACCAAGGCGACGAUCAGUAGCUGGUCUGAGAGGACGACCAGCCACACUGGAACUGAGACACGGUCCAGACUCCUACGGGAGGCAGCAGUGGGGAAUUUUGGACAAUGGGCGAAAGCCUGAUCCAGCCAUUCCGCGUGAGUGAAGAAGGCCUUCGGGUUGUAAAGCUCUUUCGCAAGGGAAGAAAACUUACUUUCUAAUAAAGAGUGAGGUUGACGGUACCUUGAUAAGAAGCACCGGCUAACUACGUGCCAGCCGCCGCCGUAAGAC